UCCCAUCCUUCAGCUCCAUUCAACCUCUCCCAUCUAUCUCUGAACACCAUCCAGUCCCAUCCUUCAGCUCCAUUCAACCCCUCCCAUCUAUCUCUAAACACCAUCCAGUACCAUCCUUCAGCUCCAUUCAACCCCUCCCAUCUAUCUCUGAAUACCAUCCAGUCCUUCAGCUCCAUUCAACCCCUCCCAUCUAUCUCUAAACACCAUCCAGUCCCAUCCUUCAGUUCCAUUCAACCCCUCCCAUCUAUCUCUAAACACCAUCCAGUCCCAUCCUUCAGCUCCCCUCAACCCCUCCCAUCUAUCUCUAAACACUGUCCAGUCCCAUCCUUCAGCUCCACUCAACCCCUCCCAUCUAUCUCUUAAUUAACACCAUCCAGUCCCAUCCUUCAGUUCCCCUCAACCCCUCCCAUCUAUCUCUGAACACCAUCCAGUCCCAUCCUUCAGUUCCAUUCAACCCCUCCCAUCUAUCUCUAAACACCAUCCAGUCCCAUCCUUCAGCUCCCCUCAACCCCUCCCAUCUAUCUCUAAACACUGUCCAGUCCCAUCCUUCAGCUCCACUCAACCCCUCCCAUCUAUCUCUUAAUUAACACCAUCCAGUCCCAUCCUUCAGUUCCCCUCAACCCCUCCCAUCUAUCUCUGAACACCGUCCAGUCCCAUCCUUCAUCUCCCUCAACCCCUCCCAUCUAUCUCUAAACACCAUCCAGUCCCAUCCUUCAGCUCCCCUCAACCCCUCCCAUCUAUCUAUAAACACUGUCCAGUCCCAUCCUUCAGCUCCACUCAACCCCUCCCAUCUAUCUCUUAAUUAACACCAUCCAGUCCCAUCCUUCAGUUCCCCUCAACCCCUCCCAUCUAUCUCUAAACACCAUCCAGUCCCAUCCUUCAGCUCCAUUCAACUCCUCCCAUCUAUCUCUAAACACCAUCCAGUCCCAUCCUUCAGUUCCAUUCAACCCCUCCCAUCUAUCUCUAAACACCAUCCAGUCCCAUCCUUCAGCUCCCCUCAACCCCUCCCAUCUAUCUCUAAACACUGUCCAGUCCCAUCCUUCAGCUCCACUCAACCCCUCCCAUCUAUCGCUGAACACCAUCCAGUCCCAUCCUUCAGCUCCAUUCAACCCCUCCCAUCUAUCUCUAAACACCAUCCAGUACCAUCCUUCAGCUCCAUUCAACCCCUCCCAUCUAUCUCUGAAUACCAUCCAGUUCUUCAGCUCCAUUCAAC
ensembl:lncRNA